rnacentral:rRNA from 1 species
UACGUAGGGUGCAAGCGUUAAUCGGAAUUACUGGGCGUAAAGCGUGCGCAGGCGGUGAUGUAAGACAGAUGUGAAAUCCCCGGGCUCAACCUGGGAACUGCAUUUGUGACUGCAUCGCUGGAGUGCGGCAGAGGGGGAUGGAAUUCCGCGUGUAGCAGUGAAAUGCGUAGAUAUGCGGAGGAACACCGAUGGCGAAGGCAGCCCCCUGGGAUAACACUGACGCUCAUGCACGAAAGCGUGGGGAGCAAACAGG